AUUGAACGCUGGCGGCAGGCCUAACACAUGCAAGUCGAGCGGAUGAAGGGAGCUUGCUCCUGGAUUCAGCGGCGGACGGGUGAGUAAUGCCUAGGAAUCUGCCUGGUAGUGGGGGAUAACGUCCGGAAACGGGCGCUAAUACCGCAUACGUCCUGAGGGAGAAAGUGGGGGAUCUUCGGACCUCACGCUAUCAGAUGAGCCUAGGUCGGAUUAGCUAGUUGGUGGGGUAAAGGCCUACCAAGGCGACGAUCCGUAACUGGUCUGAGAGGAUGAUCAGUCACACUGGAACUGAGACGCGGUCCAGACUCCUACGGGAGGCAGCAGUGGGGAAUAUUGGACAAUGGGCGAAAGCCUGAUCCAGCCAUGCCGCGUGUGUGAAGAAGGUCUUCGGAUUGUAAAGCACUUUAAGUUGGGAGGAAGGGCAGUAAGUCAAUACCUUGCUGUUUUGACGUUACCAACAGAAUAAGCACCGGCUAACUUCGUG
rnacentral:rRNA from 1 species